UUUCUUUACUAUGUUUUCCAUAGAGUUUCCAAUUCAAUGCAUCAAGGAAGUAGCAAACUUGGAUGGAGUUUUGAAGUCUGUCUAAUGAUGAAUCAUGUAUCUGGAGAAUCUGAGAAAUUUCUGCUCAAAGACAUUUUCCGGGUACUCUCUUACCUUGAAAUUUGUUUCAUCUGGAAAUGUGUUUACUUUACAUCUUAGCUUAUAUUAAGAUCUCU